rnacentral:rRNA from 1 species
GAUGAACGCUGGCGGCGUGCCUAAUACAUGCAAGUCGAGCGAACAGACGAGGAGCUUGCUCCUCUGACGUUAGCGGCGGACGGGUGAGUAACACGUGGAUAACCUACCUAUAAGACUGGGAUAACUUCGGGAAACCGGAGCUAAUACCGGAUAAUAUAUUGAACCGCAUGGUUCAAUAGUGAAAGACGGUUUUGCUGUCACUUAUAGAUGGAUCCGCGCCGCAUUAGCUAGUUGGUAAGGUAACGGCUUACCAAGGCGACGAUGCUUAGCCGACCUGAGAGGGUGAUCGGCCACACGGGAACUGAGAAACGGUCCAGACACCUACGGGAGGCAGCAGUAGGGAAUCUUCCGCAAUGGGCGAAAGCCUGACGGAGCAACGCCGCGUGAGUGAUGAAGGUCUUCGGAUCGUAAAACUCUGUUAUUAGGGAAGAACAAAUGUGUAAGUAACUAUGCACGUCUUGACGGUACCGAAUCAGAAAGCCACGGCUACUACGUG